rnacentral:rRNA from 1 species
UACGUAGGGAGCAAGCGUUGUCCGGAAUCAUUGGGCGUAAAGAGCGUGUAGGCGGCUUGGCAAGUCUGGUGUGAAAUCUUGCGGCUCAACCGCAAGCGGUCACUGGAAACUGCCUCGCUAGAGUCCGGAAGAGGAGAGCGGAAUUCCUGGUGUAGCGGUGGAAUGCGCAGAUAUCAGGAGGAACACCGGUGGCGAAGGCGGUUCUCUGGGAAUGUCCUGACGCUGAGGAGCGAAAGUGUGGGGAGCGAACAGG